rnacentral:rRNA from 1 species
UACAGAGGGUGCAAGCGUUAAUCGGAAUUACUGGGCGUAAAGCGUGCGUAGACGGUUACAUAAGUCGGGUGUGAAAGCCCCGGGCUCAACCCUGGGAAUUGCAUUCGAGACUGCGUAGCUAGGGUGCGGAAGAGGGAAGCGGAAUUUCCGGUGUAGCGGUGAAAUGCGUAGAUAUCGUAAGGAAGACCAGUGGCGAAGGCGGGUCUCUGGACAGUUCCUGACGCUGAGGCACGAAGGUCAGGGGAGCAAACGGG